GUUUCCUUUCAUGCUGCAAUACUGGAAAAGCUGUGAUCAAAGUCACUAAUGAUGAGUAUUUGACUCUUAACUAAUGUAAAUCUAUUCCUCCUUGCCAUUCUAUACCUUUCUGUAGCCACUGAUACAAUUGAUCACACCAUCGUCAUCUGUCUGCUCUCUGACAGCUGAAUAGAAUAGCAAUUGCUUGUUUUCAUUCUCAUUGAUUUAAGCAGGCAGAGAAUCACCGGUAAAGACUAUUCUUCCUGUGUCCACACUGUUACCUUGAGUUUAUCUCUCAAUAUAUUCCUAGCCCGCUCAUAUUUCUCAAGUAUAUGAUGUCAUAAUUGAUGGCACCCAGCUUUACCUCAUCUCCACUGAUUGCAAUUAGUUAUAUUGCCUGACAUCCAUAAAAGUCAGUGAAUAGAAUUUUGCUCCAUAUAGUCUCCAAU